CAAACUCACCUUUUUCCCAAUACCCCGAGGAAAAAAGGGAAUAUAUAUAUUUUUUUUAUAACUGAAAGAUCCCCGCGGGCUUAUAUCGCACAGGAGCUUAGCCCUCUACCUUUCUCUACUUAAGUACCAUGCUUUUGCUUACAUCAUGGUUCGAGCCUAAGUUGCUCGGACAUGGGCGCGGGUAUCCGAUACGCGUGCGAAUCUAGAGAUCAGAUCUUCCGAGAUUUAAAUUCUAAAGUUCGGGAAUACGGAUCCUAGUACGGAUAGAGGUGCAAGAUCUGGCUGAAAAUAAUUCAAAAAAAAUAAAAAUACAAAAAUAUCUCUGAAAUACUUACGUAUAGCUAGUAAAGUGUAGAUUUUGUUUUUUAUUCUCAAGUUGUAGAUAAGUAAAGGAUUGAUUUUCUAGAUAAGGUAUGUUAUUUUAUUCAAACUUACCCUAGUUUUAGUUAUGGUUUCGAGAAUCAAAUUAUAUUCUCGUCUCGAAUUUUUCUGUCUGUCAUGGUCAAAGUACACAAAAUUGUUUGACCACAUCCCAUACGCACACCCAUAUUAGUGUCGCACGGAUAAAGCACCUAAUCUGCCGAGUCGAAGCAACUUAGGUUCGACCCAUGAUAAAGGCCAAAAAAAGAGACAUUUUCUUCCAGUGUAGUUUCUAUUCUUAUUUCCUAAGUUGUUAUAGCAAGCCAUCAUAGGCUCCACAUAGCAGAAAGACUAGCUUAACCAAACUAAAUUCAAUCUCUUCCCAACAGAUUAUUUGCUUCAAUGGGUGUUGAGCAAUGUCUUCCAAGAAAAUUCUUCUACGAACAUUCUUGACAACAUUCCUCUCCCAAACCCCCUCACUCCUCCAGAACCUCGCUCUGUGCCUCUCCCAUCCACCCAUCUUUUAACAGGAUGUCCUGUCCGAAGACACCGUAUUAUUUAUCAGAUGGUCAGAAUUGAGUCUCACUUUUGUUCUUCACCCCCAGAAGUGGAAACUGCCGUAAAAAUUGGUUUGAAUGGUGCAACAGCAAAAAAGACAUGUAGCUUCUAUGUGCAUAAUGGACAUGAGAACAAAUUUCACAGCGAAGAAGGAAAAUCCACUAGCAGAUCUUAACAUGGGUUAGUUACCUCCAUACGGAAGAGCUUGGUCGGUACAAUGACACCAAAUCCAGCUGAAGCUCGGACUAAUUCUUGGAAUUUCUGUAAAGACAAAUCUUUAUACGCAUUUUCUGUUAAUUUGUUCAGGCUUCCGGUACAAGCAAAAGCAUGGCCAUGAAUUCCAGCUUCUCUUAAUACCCGCAAUGGUAGAUCAAAAGAAAGGUCCGCAAAAGCAGUAACAGCAAGAUCUCCUCCCACAAAAUCCAUUGUGGAAGCUGCAUCAUAGCUCUCAUCACUGGAAUUCUCUACAACUUGCCUUCUAGGUUCAGCAGGUCCCAAUCCCCUGGUCUUGAAGCCCAAUAAAGAUGAUGGCCCCCCAAGUGCACAAACUGGAGAAGAAUUACCACCCAGAAAAAAUUUCUCAGGUAAAAAUAACAAUCGAAAAAUAUACUCUACAACUUGCCUUCUAGGUUCAGCAGGUCCCAAUCCCCUGGUCUUGAAGCCCAAUAAAGAUGAUGGCCCCCCAAGUGCACAAACUGGCGAAGAAUUACCACCCAGGAAAAAUUUCUCAGGUAAAGACGUAGGCAGACUUAAAAACCCACUUCCCCAUGGGACAGUUACACCAGCAGAAAUACCAAUGUUGAGAGCAGCAUUAAAAAAUCCCAGAGGUAAAGCAUAGCGGAAGUCCAACUCCUGCUCAGAAAUCCAUAAGUUUUGUUAUACUGUGGAUCUGAUAGUUCAGAAGUAUAUAUAUAGGUUCAGAAUCAGACUGUCAUAAUGGUGGGAAAUAUAUGAUUGAUAGAUACCAGACAAGAUGGCCAUAACAAGUUACAGAACCAUUCUACUGCCACUAGCAGUAAUCUAAAUGACAGUAAGUUAUAGAUUACAUCUGAAACAACAAAACAGAAUGGGUAGAAGGAAAAUUGCAGUUAAAUCUAACUAUUCAACAUCAACAGAAACCUAGAUAUCACACUAGUAACAGAAGUUAUUUAAGAAAAACUUAAAAGAGGUCACACAGAACGAACCUGACGGAGAAAGCGUAACCCCCGGUGAUCUGGUAGGAGGCCACCAAUUUGAGAAGACGAAAGAAAGGCAUAUCCUCGGGUUGGUCUCAGAGGAGAGUUCCUCCUAUCAAUUUUAAAUGUAUACUUUAGAGCGGAAAUUAAACUAUGCCCAAGCUGUCUCCUCACUGCUCUCGAUGACAUUUGUGAUGGGUCAGUCAAGGCUCGCCAAUAGAGACUGUAUGUCAAAUCAUGGCUUCUGGAUGACAGUAGGCCAAGAGAAAGUCCCAAAGCUCGUUCUUUGUAAGAAGAGAACUUCAGCCAAUCUUGAGAAAGAAGAGAUAAUCGAGCUGUCACAGGGGUGAUCAAUCUUUUGAAUCUGGGUAGACACACACCAGCACUAACCUCUGAAGUCAGGUCCCAGCCAUAAGCCAAAGACCCAUCCCAUAUGUCCCCAUAACCUAACAAGUUUUUCAGCUUCAAUGAACCUUCAAGUGACCAAGCUCUAGCCUACAGAAGCAAAUUGAAGUUUUAAUCAAAAUCCAAGAGAAAAACAGCAACUGAUGCAAGCAUGCUGCUUCUAUAAUUUCAAAGCAUGUUCACACACCAUGUGAGAGAACCCAAUAUACUGUUCACCAAUAGCAAGAUCACAGAACAGAUUUUAGUUACACAUGCAAACUGAAGUGAAAAAAAUAUAACAGCUUGAGUCUUUUCUCUCAUCUUUCUCUAUAGUAUCAAACUUUGGUUAUUGACUCUCUUCUUUAAAUAUUAGGUCUUUGGCAAAUAUCCCGAGAGACACUUAUUCUAUUUUUAUCCUUCAUAAUAUCAGGGUUUGCUAAUGAGGCCCUUAUCUCAAAAAUGAAUUUCCAGUCAAAGAAUGAAGGUUGCGGAGAUGAGGAUGCUUAGGUGGAUGUGUGGGCACACCAGGCUGGANN
rnacentral:lncRNA from 1 species